CAUUUUAUAGUUUAAACGAAAACACAAGUCUCAUGAACUUGAAUUGUGACAAAUACUCACUAAACUAG
rnacentral:tRNA from 1 species